rnacentral:rRNA from 1 species
GGGGGGAGUUGUCGCUGGCCUUUUACGAGGCAUGUGCACGCUCUCCUUGGAACCUUUGCCUUAUGGGCGCGGGGCGACCCGCGUCUUCAUAUACCUCUUCGUGUAGAAAGUCUUCGAAUGUUUAUAUUAUCAUCGAGCCGCGACUUCUAGGAGACGCGGUUCUUUGAGACAAAAGUUAUUACAACUUUCAGCAAUGGAUCUCUUGGCUCUCGCAUCGAUGAAGAACGCAGCGAAUCGCGAUAUGUAAUGUGAAUUGCAGAUCUACAGUGAAUCAUCGAAUCUUUGAACGCACCUUGCGCUCCUCGGUGUUCCGAGGAGCAUGCCUGUUUGAGCGUCAGUAAAUUCUCAACCCCUCUCGAUUAGCUUCGAAAGGGCGCUUGGAUAGUGGGGGCUGCCGGAGAUCUGGACUUUUCGUCUGGGACUCGGGCUCUCCUGAAAUGAAUGGGCUUGCGGUCGGCUUUCGACUAUGCAUGACAAGGCUUUUGGCGUGAUAAUGAUCGCCGCUCGCCGAAGUGCAUGAAUGAAUGGUCCCGUGCCUCUAAUGCGUCGAUGCCUUCUGGCGUCUUCCUUAUUGACUUUUGACCUCAAAUCAGGUAGGACUACCCGCUGAACUUAAGCAUAUCAAUA